UACGUAGGGGGGCUAGCGUUGUCCGGAAUCAUUGGGCGUAAAGAGCGUGUAGGCGGCCCGGUAAGUCCGCUGUAAAAGUCAAAGGCUCAACCUUUGAAUGUCAGUGGAUACUGCCGGGCUAGAGUCCGGAAGAGGCGAGUGGAACUCCUGGUGUAGCGGUGGAAUGCGCAGAUAUCAGGAAGAACACCAACGGCGAAGGCAGCUCGCUGGGGACGGUACUGACGCUGAGACGCGAAAAGCGUGGGGGAGCGAACAGG
rnacentral:rRNA from 1 species